ensembl:lncRNA
AUGUACAUGGAUGACCUGAAGCUGUAUGGGAAAAUGCAAACUGAAAUCCAGUCUCUGACCAACAUUGUCCGAAUUUUUAGUACUGAUAUCAGCAUGGAGUUUGGUUUGGACAAAUGUUCGACAGUGGCAUUGAAGAAGGGAAAAAUCAUUGAAAGUGAGGGCAUAAAUAUGCCUAAUGGCCAAACAAUAAAGUGUCACCAGCCAGAGGCCUAUAAAUAUCUGGGCAUAUUACAGCUGGACAACAUCAAACAUGAAAAUGUGAAGAUUGUGGUCAGCAAAGAAUACACACAAAGGGUCAGAAAAAUUCUCAAAAGCAAGCUCAAUGGAGGCAACACCAUCAAGGCCAUAAACACCUGGGCCAUACCUGUCAUAAGAUAUACUGCUGGCAUCAUAAACUGGACACAGGUGUUUAUGGCCUUGAUGGUGUUGCCUCCAUUGAGCUUGCUUUUGAGAAUUUUUUUGACCCAUUGUGUGUAUUCUUUGCUGACCACAGUUUUCACAUGUUCAUGUUUGAUGUUGUCCAGCUGUAAUAUUCCCAGAUAUUUAUAGGCCUCUGGCUGGUGACACUUGAUCGUUUGGCCAUUAGGCAUAUUUAUGCCCUCACUUUCAAUGAUUUUUCCCUUCUUCAAUGCCACUGUUGAACAUUUGUCCAAACCAAACUCCAUGCUGAGAUCAGUGCUAAAAAUUCAGACAGUGUUAGUCAGGGACUGGAUUUCAGUUUGCAUUUUCCCAUACAGCUUCAGGUCAUCCAUGUACAUCAGAUGUGAAAUUUUGUGAGAUUUCUUAGAUGUUUGAUAGCCGAAGUUUGUUUUUUGUAAGAUUGUUGACAGAGGGAUCAUGGCAAUAAUGAAAAGCAGAGGGGACAAUGAAUCUCCCUGGAAAAUUCCUCUUCUGAUGUUGACAAGUCCAUAGCUUUCAUUUCCAACAAACAGUUCAGUUUUCCAGUGCUCCAUCAUGUUUUCAAUGAAGGUGCCAACGUUUUUACAAAUCCCAGGCACUUGAUGAUCCAACUGUGUGGGAGUGAGUCAAAGGCCUUUUUGUAGUCAAUCCACGUCAUGUGAAGAUUAGCUUUUCAACUUUUACAGUUCUCCAGAAUCAUUUUGUCAAUUAAUAACUGGUCUUUUGUGACCCUGCUUUUCCAUUUGUUGCCUUUCUGUUCAUCUGGUAAGAUGUUUUUUUCUUCAAGAUAGUCUUGAAUUCUGUCAGCUAUGAUGCCAGUCAGUAGUUUAAACAUAGUGGGCAGACAUGUUAUUUUCCUGUAGUUUCCUGGUGCUGCUCCUUUUGCUGGAUCCUUUUGUAUCAGGUAUGUACUUCCAGUUGUUAGCCAUUCACUGAUACUUCCUUUCUGCAGCAUCUCAUUGAAUUGUUGGGCCAUUUUUCCAUGUAAGCUAAUCAGAUAUUUGAGCCAAAACCCAUGAAGUUGAUCACUACCAGGCGAUGUCCAAUUCUUGACUUUUUGCACUCAUUUGCUGAUCAUUUCAGUUGUUAUUUCCAUCUGUUCCAUUUUGUUCUGUGAGAAUUUUCCUUCAAACUCCUUUAUCCACCCAGCGUUUUUGUUGUAGUUCUUAUUAUUUUCCCAAAGCUCUUUCCAGAACUUCAUUGUUGCAGUUUUCUUUGGCUUUAUGGUUACUGUGUCUGUUGUUUGGUUCAGACUCUGGUAGAACCGUCUUUGGUCUGAUUGAAACAGUUGAUUUUGUCUGUACUGGAUGAUUCUGGCUUCAUAUAUUUCAAUUUUUCUGGCUGUUGCUCUAAUUUGUUCUAUUAUUAUUAUUAUUAUUAUUAUUAUUAUUAUUAUUAUUAUUAUUAUUAUUAUUUUGAAAUGAUCUAUGUGCAAAUGAACUCCUGCCUUCUAUAACAACUUCAUUCUCCCUCUGAACCAAUUCUACCAAGAAAAUCAUGUAAUAAGCUAGAUUUAGGAUCACCAUAAUUAAGGAAUAAAGUGAAGUUGCACGACAACAACAACAACGCCAGUAUCAACAGCUACAAAUGAAAUGUCUAUUUCAACUCUGAAACGUUUGAAAACAAACAUGGUUAGCAUGAAGGGACAAGAAAGACUGACUGGAUUUGCACUCUAGAGUGUCCACCGAAAUUUAUUGAUGGAGCAAGAUUUCUGUCAAAAUGUAUUGAUUCAGCUUUCAAGUGUUUCCAACAGGCAUUGUAGUUUUCUUUAAUAACCACUAAAUUACCAAUUAAGAGUCAACUUUAGAUAUUUUUUGAGACUUGAAACUUUGUAGCUAAAAUAGAAAUUUGAUUUAAAUAAGUCUUUACAAAAGAUAUAGAAUGUGUCAUAGAAUUUACAUUAUUUUGUGUUAUGGACCUACUCUUCAUAAUUUGUUAAAAGAUAAAAAUUGUUUCAAACCCCCCCCCCCUUUUUUUUUUCUGGCUACGGGUCUUUUACCCCCAACAUAUGUCUUGGUUACUUAACCAAAUGCUUCACCUGAGAGAUCCACAUCUCCAAGGAAUGAAAAAGAAAAUCUGGGUUAAAGUAAAUAUGGGAAUACUUUCAUGCUCCUGUUUAGGAAUAUGGAGAAAAAGGAGAGGAAGGACAUAGAUGGUGAGUUGUUGCUGAGCCAAGGGGAAAUCAGACUUCCUUAUUUAUGCUACAGUAUUGAUGAGAGUGCUGGCAGGUCUUCUGUCUCUUCCAAUACAUUAAUAUUAUUUAUCAGGCAAAUGUCAGUUUUGAUGGGGCAAUGUUUUUUAUGAUGAAGCCUUUUGUAUGAGAUUAGCCAUCAUCUCUGCAAUGAGCUGACACCAGGUAGAGCUGCUUAACUACCCAGACCAGGCAAAUGGCCUCACAGCAGACAUAUAGUCUACUCUGCCACCUAUCAAAUGUUGUGACCUGGGACAAUAUUAGGUCAGCAGUGGUUGUGGGAAUUUGGCUCGUAGGCAUCAUGUCCUAGGUGUCUAUGUCAAUUUCAACAUGAACGGUGAAUUGUAAGGACAAUCAUUCCAUUCAGAACUGAUCCAGAAUGAAGCAUAUCAAAGCAUGGAAAUAUGGUGGACAGUUACCUCCUAAAGGUAGGUUGCCAGCUAUCUUCUAAAGGACCCCAAUCAAUUAUGCUAGGAUAUUUUCCAGUAUUGCUUCAUUGUUACCCAACUCUGAAAAUUACCCAGUAUUUGAGAGAGAGGUUUAAGUUUGGGUAUCAUAUCCCCUUUCAGGAAGUUAAAUAGAUUUUGUAGACUACUAAUUUUCAUUCUGUUGUUGGCAUGGAAUAUACAGUUAAAAACAAAACUCUGGAGGAGAUACAUGACAGGAAGGUAGUUGACAUAUUUUCUUAUCCCACCAUAGUAUCAAAUCCCAGGAGCGGAGUGAGCGGCCGCUGUUGCUCCAGCUUCUGCCAGCCUAGAAGUUCGAAAACAUGCCAAUGUGAGUAGAUCAAUAGGUACUGCUCCGGCAGGAAGGUAACAGCGCUCCAUGCAGUCAUGCCGGCCACAUGACCUUGGAGGUGUCUACGGACAACGCUGGCUCUUCGGCUUAGAAAUGGAGAUGAGCACCAACCCCCAGAGUCAGACAUGACUAGACUUAACGUCAGGGGAAACCUCCUUCAAUAUUUGUCCUCCAGAUCGCACCGCCACUUUAUGACUCUGUCCUCUGUGGUUUUUACUCCUACUUCCUUUCUCACCUCGAGUUUUAAUCUAGUUUUCAUGUGGCCCGCCCUUGGUUUUAUUGUUCUUUUGAUCUUGUUUAAUGUAGUGUAUAUUUUCUUUUAUUGUGUUGUUUAAUGUGCUAUGAUUUGUUGUUCUAUUAUAUUUUGUUAUAUUGUAUUGUUCUGGGCAUGGCCCCAUGUAAGCCGCCCCAAGUCCCCGUUGGGGAGAUGGUGGCGGGGUAUAAAUAAAGAUUAUUAUUAUUAUUAUUAUUAUUAUUAUUAUUAUUAUUACCUUUACUUACCAUAGUAAGCUUGAAAAUUUAGUCAUUUU